rnacentral:lncRNA from 1 species
UGCUUUCUAAUGUAGUUCCCACACCACUGCUUGUCAAGAUAAUUGGCCAGGAAGACUUAUCUUCAUAAAAAGAGAUGGGACCAGUUCUGACAUGGAUUGCAUGAGACUCUUGACAACAUGUGGAGGCCCAUACUAUGAAGAAUAAAGGGUAAAAAUGAAGGUUAUUUUCAUUUUGAGCUG